UACGUAGGUGGCGAGCGUUGUCCGGAUUUACUGGGCGUAAAGAGCGCGCAGGCGGUCGUUCAAGUCGAGUGUGAAAGCCCCCGGCUCAACUGGGGAGGGUCAUUCGAUACUGAUCGACUUGAAGGCAGGAGAGGGAAGCGGAAUUCCCGGUGUAGUGGUGAAAUGCGUAGAUAUCGGGAGGAACACCAGUGGCGAAGGCGGCUUACUACACGAAUAUUGACGCUGAGGCACGAAAGCGUGGGGAGCCAAACAGGGAUUAAGAAACCCGUGUAACGUCC
rnacentral:rRNA from 1 species